rnacentral:rRNA from 1 species
GACGAACGCUGGCGGCGUGCCUAAUACAUGCAAGUCGAACGAAGCUUUUUUAACUGGUGCUUGCACCGACUUAAACAACUGAGUGGCGAACGGGUGAGUAACACGUGGGUAACCUGCCCCAAAGCGGGGGAUAACAUUUGGAAACAGAUGCUAAUACCGCAUAACCACAGAAACCACAUGGUUUCUGUGUCAAAGAUGGUUUCGGCUAUCACUUUGGGAUGGACCCGCGGCGUAUUAGCUAGUUGGUAAGGUAAUGGCUUACUAAGGCAAUGAUACGUAGCCGAACUGAGAGGUUGAUCGGCCACAUUGGGACUGAGACACGGCCCAAACUCCUACGGGAGGCAGCAGUAGGGAAUCUUCCAAAAUGGACGAAAGUCUGAUGGAGCAACGCCGCGUGAGUGAAGAAGGUUUUCGGAUCGUAAAACUCUGUUGUCAGAGAAGAACGUGUGCGAGAGUAACUGUUCGUGCAGUGACGGUAUCUGGCCAGAAAGCCACGGCUAACUACGUGCCAGCAGCCGCCGCCG